GAGAAGUAGUUCCUUUCCCCAAGGUUCAUGGAUAGAUGCUUAGGAAUAUAACUAAGAACAUGAAAAAGAAAUAUUUACAGAUCAUAGAUUUAGCUUGAAGAGACUUCAGAUAUCAACUCCUUCAUUUCAUGGAGGAGAAAACUGAAGUCCUCAGAAGGAAUCUUGUUCCAAUCAUAUAGAGAACUGGGCCUGGCCUCUCCACAUGGUCAGUCACCUUGCUGAAUUGGAAGACAUCAUCCUGGAAAGUCCUUCUUGUGGCAACUGAGCUCUCCAGUUCUUAAAGCCAAUAUCUCUUCUGGACUCUUCCACCAACUUCCUGGAUCAGGAUUCCUAGGGAAGGAACAUGAAGCCCGGGUUCACACAGCUAGCCAGUGGGCUGAUAUCAGAUUUUGAACUUGGGCCUUUUUGACUCCAGGUUCACAGCUUUAUCCUUUGUGCCAUCUACUAUCAAGUAUCAAAAAAAGUACAGCAUGGGUGAAAAGAGAGCAGA